rnacentral:lncRNA from 1 species
GGGAUCUAAUUAAGUUAAUUAAAAUAAAUUAUAGUUUAGAAUUAAAUAAAAUUAGUCAAGCAUAAGCAAAUCAAUUAAAGGAGUAAAGAUAUUAGGAAAUUGGGCCCCUUUUGGGCCAAUUUUGCUGCAAAAAUUCUGGGGAUUUUACUCAAUCCCGUUUUUGGUAUACAUCAGCGGUAUAUCGGUGUAUAUUGAUGUAUACAGCCCUUUUUUCUGCAUUCCGGGACCUGUACGUAAACUUCAAAGACUUGUUCUUCGAUUUCUCAAGGUUGAAUGACUCGAUAAAAGAGUUUUGGGCCUUUAUGGCCCAUCCGAAAUAUGAGUUGGAGAAAAAUGGAGUCCAAGGGAACUCGGAUCAAAAGUUCAUGCGAGAAAAGAGAUAAAGGUUAAUAAUUAAUCAUAAUGAAAACUCUACUAAAAUAAUUAAGCAUGUAGGAUAAUAAUAAGCUCAAUUGCCUAUCAAUAGCUAAACGGAAACGCAAUAGUUAGAACACAUUUAUAAAUCUUAGAAUGUUUAACAGUGUGAAUACUAAGUGGAUAAACACUAAAACAAUUACACCAUAUUAUACCACAAUAUAUGAUGAGUAAGGGAUCAAAUCACCUAUAAUGGUAACAAACUUAUUGAUUUUUUGAAUAAGCUCAUUGGAAGAGAAAACAUAAGGAAGAAUGCAUUCUUUAAUCAUGUGAAAGACACAUUCAACAAUUAUUUCGACUAAUAUGCAAAAAUCUAAUCUUUCUAUUCUCAAACAAAUAAAUUUGAUGGCUACCACACUUUGAGGGCAAAGCAACACUACAAAUGCUUAGCAACACAAGGACAAAGAUUUAACUAAAAAUUCGUUAAAAUAAUAAUAAUAGUAAUGGCAACAUAGUCAACUAAGCAAAACAAAACAAAAUCUGAAAAUCAAAACUACGACUUCCUGGAGAAGAGAAAAUUAUAGUUUUAAGCAAGAGGGGAAAAUCAUCAUUCUUAGAGAAUUUAGAAAGAAAGAAAAAAAAAUCUCAAAUGGGUUAGCUAUUGAAAGGAUUAACAAUUUCAUGCCUUUUGGGGUUUCCAAACGAGAAAAGGAGUUAUCACCAUGGAAGAAAUAUAUGCUCUUUUAAGUUUACAAUACAAUCCGAGAUACAAAGUGCAAGCAUCCGACAAGAUACAUUGAUGAUUUUAAACCAACUCAAAAUAAUCAAACCGCCAAACAAGUCCAAUCUCAAGUUCAUUCAAAAGAUAACGAAAUUACAUUGUAAGGCACAUGGAGAAUUAAAACAAGCCAUUUAUCUAAAAUUUAGAAGAUAGACUUAAACACAUAUAUCAUAUAUGUUAACAAAAACAUAAAAGAAACUUGAAAACUCAUAUUUUAAAAUAAUAAUAAUAAUAAUAAGACAUUUAGAGUUUGACACGUCAUUAUUUGAGAUUUUUUGAAAGAAAACUUAUGCACAUGCUUCACAUAAUGUAGUAUAUCAACAUAAAAUAAAAGAAGUAUGCACAAGAACAUGAAGUAAACCUGC